GACGAACGCUGGCGGCGUGCUUAACACAUGCAAGUCGAACGGAAAGGCCCUGCUUUUGUGGGGUGCUCGAGUGGCGAACGGGUGAGUAACACGUGAGUAACCUGCCCUUGACUUUGGGAUAACUUCAGGAAACUGGGGCUAAUACCGGAUAGGAGCUCCUGCUGCAUGGUGGGGGUUGGAAAGUUUCGGCGGUUGGGGAUGGACUCGCGGCUUAUCAGCUUGUUGGUGGGGUAGUGGUUUACCAAGGCUUUGACGGGUAGCCGGCCUGAGAGGGGGACCGGCCACAUUGGGACUGAGGGACGGCCCAGACUCCAACGGGAGGCAGCAGUGGGGAAUAUUGCACAGUGGGCGGAAGCGUGAUGCAGCAACGCCGCGUGCGGGAUGACGGCCUUCGGGUUGUAAACCGCUUUCGCCUGUGACGAAGCGUGAGUGACGGUAAUGGGUAAAGAAGCACCGGCUAACUACGUG
rnacentral:rRNA from 1 species